UAUAACGGUCCUAAGGUAGCGAAAUUCCUUGUCGGGUAAGUUCCGACCUGCACGAAUGGCGUAACGACUUCCCAACUGUCUCAACCACUGACCCAGCGAAAUUGAAGUACGAGUAAAGAUGCUCGUUAGCUGCAGAAGGACGGAAAGACCCCGUGGACCUUUACUACAACUUGAUGUUGGGUUUUGUCAUACGUUGUGUAGGAUAGGUGGGAGACUUGGAAGCGUCAGCGCCAGCUGGUGUGGAGUCAUCCUUGAAAUACCACCCUGCGUAUUGCGAGGCUCUAACCCAGGUCCGUUGACCGGACCGGGAACAGCGUCAGGCGGGUAGUUUGACUGGGGCGGUCGCCUCCUAAAGAGUAACGGAGGCGCCCAAAGGUUCCCUCAGCCUGGUUGGCAAUCAGGCGUCGAGUGCAAUGGCAUAAGGGAGCUUGACUGCGAGACUGACACGUCGAGCAGGAGCGAAAGCUGGGCAUAGUGAUCCGGCGGUUGCGUGUGGAAGCGCCGUCGCUCAACGGAUAAAAGGUACCCCGGGGAUAACAGGCUAAUCUUCCCCAAGAGUCCAUAUCGACGGGAAGGUUUGGCACCUCGAUGUCGGCUCAUCGCAUCCUGGGGCUGAAGCAGGUCCCAAGGGUUGGGCUGUUCGCCCAUUAAAGCGGUACGCGAGCUGGGUUUAGAACGUCGUGAGACAGUUCGGUCCCUAUCCUCUGCAGCCGAAGGUGGAUUGAGGAAAGCUAUCCCUAGUACGAGAGGACCGGGAUGGACGUAGCUCUCGUGUGCCAGUUGUCCUGCCAAGGGCACGGCUGGUUGGCGACCUACGGACGGGAUAACCGCUGAAAGCAUCUAAGCGGGAAACCCUUUUCAAGAUGAUUCCACCCACAGGGUCAACCUGGUAAGGCCUGUGGUAGACGACCACGUUGAUAGGCCGGAAGUGUAAGCGCAGCAAUGCGUUCAGCUGACCGGUACUAAUCGGCCGAGGGCUUGGGAUUCACCCUCAUC
rnacentral:rRNA from 1 species